UUGCACAGCGAACACCCAAGGAUGCUAAUGUGGCUCUCCCUGGUCUCAUGUCUGUGCCACAGUGACUCUGGUCUUUACCUCUGCGUUAGGAGAGUUUCAGUCUCCCCUACAUGUAUUCAGUUGAUCAGAACAAAA